rnacentral:misc_RNA from 1 species
GGCUAAUCUACCAUUAACAGAGACUUCUUCAUCAUAAUCUUCCUCCUCCUCAUCUAAUCUUGUGCCGAGCUUUGCAAGCUGCAGAGGGUCGAUGGCCAUCUUGUCCAUUUCAGAAAGCGACCAACCUGGAUAUUCUUCUUGAUUAGUUUCAGCAGUAGGCACUGCAGAUGAGUUGUCAACCACUGUUGCUGCUGCUGCAGGUGCUGCUGCUGUUGUUGCAGCAGCUGUAGCCUUUGUGUCCUCGUUCUCAUUCACGUCAGCAUUCAGAUCAAAGUUUCUUUCCGAUGCAGUGGCACCAUCACCGACUAUCAUAUCUUCCUCCAACAAUUCCUUUUGUUCAGAACCAUUAUCUACCACCAUUCCAGGAUUUGAGUUAUUUUUUACGUUCUGCUGAAGAGUUGUACCGGGCUCAGAUUCAAUCUCACGAUGAGAAGACUCUCGUUCCAUGUUUCGAACACCUCGUCCUCGGCCCCUUCCUCGACCACGCCCUCUCCCUCGGCCACUGCUGCCUGCAUGGUUCAUCUCAUGCAUCCUGCUUCUCUUCAACUCUUCAUCACUGUCAUUGCAUUCAUCCCCAAUGGGCUUCCUCUUUUGAAGGGUUCUGUGAUCUGCAGUGUUAUCAGAAUGACCAUGACCAUAGUCAGGAACCCUGCUGACAAUUUCCCUUAAAAAAUCGAAAACAUUGUAGCUCUGUACGCAGUGUUUUAAAUGCAAUGCACUCAUAGUUUUUGCACCUCGCUGCAGUGUGAUUUUGUAUGUAUGGUCACAAAGGUCUUGCAAAAACAAUUCC